rnacentral:rRNA from 1 species
CGUUAAUGGGUGAUGGCGUGCCUUUUGUAGAAUGAACCGGCGAGUUACGAUCUGAUGCAAGGUUAAGCAGAAAAUGUGGAGCCGUAGCGAAAGCGAGUCUGAAUAGGGCGAAUGAGUAUUUGGUCGUAGACCCGAAACCAGGUGAUCUACCCUUGGUCAGGUUGAAGUUCAGGUAACACUGAAUGGAGGACCGAACCGACUUACGUUGAAAAGUGAGCGGAUGAACUGAGGGUAGCGGAGAAAUUCCAAUCGAACUUGGAGAUAGCUGGUUCUCUCCGAAAUAGCUUUAGGGCUAGCCUCAAGUGAUGAUUAUUGGAGGUAGAGCACUGUUUGGACGAGGGGCCCCUCUCGGGUUACCGAAUUCAGACAAACUCCGAAUGCCAAAUAAUUUAACUUGGGAGUCAGAAUGUGGGUGAUAAGGUCCAUAUUCGAAAGGGAAACAGCCCAGACCACCAGCUAAGGUCCCAAAAUAUAUGUUAAGUGGAAAAGGAUGUGGCGUUGCCCAGACAACUAGGAUGUUGGCUUAGAAGCAGCCAUCAUUUAAAGAGUGCGUAAUAGCUCACUAGUCGAGUGACACUGCGCCGAAAAUGUACCGGGGCUAAACAUAU